GAUUAACGCUGGCGGCGUGCCUAACACAUGCAAGUCGAGCGGCAGCGAGUUUUACACUGACUUCUGGAAGCUUCUAGUUGAAAGAGAAGAUUUAUUCAAGAAUUUUGUGUAAAAUGUCGGCGAGCGGCGGACGGCUGAGUAACGCGUGGGAACGUACCCCAAAGUGAGGGAUAACGCAUCGAAAGGUGUGCUAAUACCGCAUAUGGUCUUCGGAUUAAAGCCUUCGGGCGCUUUGGGAACGGCCUGCGUAAGAUUAGAUAGCUGGUGGGGUAAUGGCCUACCAAGUCGACGAUCUUUAACUGGUUUGAGAGGAUGAUCAGUCAGACUGGAACUGAGACACGGUCCAGACUCCUACGGGAGGCAGCAGUGAGGAAUCUUCCACAAUGGGCGAAAGCCUGAUGGAGCAACGCCGCGUGCAGGAUGAAGGCCUUCGGGUUGUAAACUGCUUUUAUAAGUGAGGAUUAUGACAGUAACUUAUGAAUAAGGAUCGGCUAACUACGUG
rnacentral:rRNA from 1 species